rnacentral:rRNA from 1 species
ACUCCUACGGGAGGCAGCAGUGGGGAAUAUUGGACAAUGGGGGAACCCGUAGCAUCCAGCCAUGCCGCGUGUGUGAAGAAGGCCUUCGGGUUGUAAAGCACUUUCAGUGGGGAGGAAAGGUUGAUGGUUAAUACCUAUCAGCUGUGACGUUACCCACAGAAGAAGCACCGGCUAACUCCGUGCCAGCAGCCGCGGUAAUACGGAGGGUGCAAGCGUUAAUCGGAAUUACUGGGCGUAAAGCGCAUGCAGGUGGUUUGUUAAGUCAGAUGUGAAAGCCCGGGGCUCAACCUCGGAAUUGCAUUUGAAACUGGCAGGCUAGAGUCUUGUAGAGGGGGUAGGAUUUCAUGGUGUAGCGGUGAAAGUGCAGUAGAGAUCGUGAAGGAAUACCAGUGGCGAAGGCGGCCCCUGGAGCCAAACGACUGACGCUCAGAUGCGAAAGCG